CAAGGAACAUUGCUUCAAGUUAUUUACACUAAUUGAUUUCAAAUAUUUCUUUAAAAACUUGA
rnacentral:tRNA from 1 species